AUUGAACGCUGGCGGCAUGCUUUACACAUGCAAGUCGAACGGUAACAGGGUGCUUGCACCGCUGACGAGUGGCGAACGGGUGAGUAAUGCGUCGGAACGUGCCGAGUAGUGGGGGAUAACGCAGCGAAAGUUGUGCUAAUACCGCAUACGUACUGAGGUAGAAAGUGGGGGACCUUCGGGCCUCACGCUAUUCGAGCGGCCGACGUCUGAUUAGCUAGUAGGUGAGGUAAAGGCUCACCUAGGCGACGAUCAGUAGCGGGUCUGAGAGGAUGAUCCGCCACACUGGGACGGAGACACGGCCCAGACUCCUACGGGAGGCAGCAGUGGGGAAUUUUGGACAAGGGGCGCAAGCCUGAUCCAGCAAUUCCGCGGGCAGGACGAAGGCCUUCGGGUUGUAAACUGCUUUUGUACGGAACGAAAAGGCUCUGGUUAAUACCCGGGGCUCAUGACGGUACCGUAAGAAUAAGCACCGGCUAACUACGUGCCAGCAGCCGCCGUAA
rnacentral:rRNA from 1 species